ACUUUCGGCAACGGAUAUCUCGGCUCUCGCGAUCGAUGAAGAACGAGCAAAAUGCGAUACUUGGUGUGAAUUGCAGAAUCCCGUGAACCAUCGAAGUCUUUGAACGCAAGUUGCGCCCUUCAAGCCUUCUGGCCGAGGGCACGCCUGCCUGGGUGUCACAAAUCGUCGCCCCCAUCCUCUCGAGGAUAUGGGAUGGAAGCUGAUCUCCUGCGGUGUUACCGCGACGCUGGGUUGGCCAAAAUCCGAAGCUAAGGACGCCAGAGCGCCUUGACAUGCGGUGGUGAAUUUAAUUUCGCCAUAUAGUCAAACGUUCCGUCCAAAAGCUCUUGAUGACCCAAAGUCCUCAACGCGAACCCCAGGUCAGGGGGAUCACCCGCUGAGUUUAAGCAUAUCAAUAAGCGGAGGAAAAGAAAUUAACAAGGAUUCCCUUAGUAACGGCGAAGCGAACAGGAAGAGCCCAGCUUUGAAAAUCGGACGCCUUCGGCGCUCAAUUGUAGUCCGGAGAAGCGCCCUCAGCGACGGACCGGGCCCAAGUUCCCUGGAAAGGGGCGCCAGAGAGGGUGAGAGCCCCGCCGCGUUCGGACCCUGUCGCACCACGAGGUGCUGUCUUCACGAAGUCGGGUUGUUUGGGAAUGCAGCCCCAAUCGGGCGGUAAAUUCGGCCCAAGGCUAAAUAUGGGGAGAGAGACCGAUAAAUAACAAGUACCGCGAGGUAAAGAUGAAAAGGACUUUGAAAAGAGAGUCAAAGAGUGCUUGAAAUUGUCGGGAGGGAAGCGGAUGGGGCCGGCGAUGCGCCCUGGUCGGAUGCGGAACGGAGCAAUCCGGUCCGCCGAUCGAUUCGGGCGUGGACCGACGCUGGAUUAAGGUGGUGACCUAAGCCCGAGCUUUUUGUUACGCCCGGAGACGCCGCUGCCUUUAAUCGUGGUUCUGCAGCACGCUUCACGGCGCCUUCUCGCAUCUGCGCGUUUCGGGCGCCGGCCUGUGGGCUCCCAUUCGACCCAUCUUGAAACACGGACCAAGGAGUCUGACAUGUGCGAAGUCAACGGGUGAGUAAACCCGUAAGGCGCAAGGAAGUUGAUUGGCUGGAUCCUCACGGUGCACAGCCGACCGACCUUUGAUCUUCCGAGAAGGGUUCGAGGUGAGCAUGCCUGUCGGGACCCGAAAAGAUGGUGAACUAUGCCUGAAGGGGGGGAAGCCAGAGGAAACUUCUGGUGGAGGCCCGCAGCGAUAUCGACGCGGCAAAAUCGCUCGGCCUGACUUGGGUAUAGGGCGAAGACUAAUCGAACCAUCUAGUAGCUGGUUCCUCCAAGUUUCCCUCAGAUAGCCUGGAGCUCGAAACGAAGUUCUAUCGGUAAAGCCAAUGAUUAGAGGCAUCGGGGACGAAUGUCCUCGACCUAUUCUCAAACUUUAAAUAGGUAGGACGGGUGGUUGCUUUGUUGAGCCAUCCCACGGAAUCGAGAGCUCCAAGUGGGCCAUUUUGGUAAGCAGAACUGGCGAUGCGGGAUGAACCGGAAGCCGGGUUACGGUGCCCAACUGCGCGCUAACCUAGAACCCACAAAGGGUGUUGGUCGAUUAAGACAGCAGGACGGUGGUCAUGGAAGUCUAAAUCCGCUAAGGAGUGUGUAACAACUCACCUGCCGAAUCAACUAGCCCCGAAAUGGAUGGCGCUUGAAGCGCUGGCGACCUAUACCCCCGCCGUCGGGCAAGAGCCAGGCCUCGAUGAGUAGGAGGGCGCUGGCGGUCGCUGCAAAACCUAGGGGCGAGCCCCGGGGAGAGCCGCCGGUGCAGAUCUUGGUGGUAGUAGCAAAUAUUCAAAUGAGAACUUUGAAGGUCAAGAGGGGAAAGGUUCCAUGUGAACGCACUUUGCACAUGGGUUAGUCGAUCCUAAGAGUCGGGGAAACCCGUCUGAUGGCGCUUUAUGCGCGCGAACUUGAAAGGGGAUCCGUUAAAAUUCCGAACCGGACGGAGGUUGACGGCAACGUUAGGGAGUCCGGAGACGCCGGCGGGAAUUCGGAAAGAGUUAUCUUUUCUGUUUAACAGCCUGCCCACCCUGAAACGGCUCAGCCGGAGGUAGGGUCCAGCGGCUGGAAGAGCACCGCGACGCCGCGUGGUGUCCGUGC
rnacentral:rRNA from 1 species